rnacentral:lncRNA from 1 species
CGACCGCCUUUCAAAUUUCAGUCGAACUUCUACUGCAAGCAGUCUACUCUGAACUUCUACUGCAAGCGGUCUACACCAAACUUCUACUGCAAGCGAUCUACUCCGGAUCUCUACUUUAAGCGAAUUCCAUCCGAGCUUCUACUAUAAACGAAUUCCUUUCGAACUUCUAUUACAGGCGGACUUCAGUCGAUCUUCUUCAAUAAGUGAUCCCCAUCC